rnacentral:rRNA from 1 species
UACAGAGGGGGCGAGCGUUAUUCGGAAUUAUUGGGCGUAAAGGGCGCGUAGGCGGCUUUGCAAGUGACGGGUGAAAUCCCUCGGCUUAACCGGGGAACUGCGUCUGAUACUGGAUGGCUUGAGUUCGGGAGAGGGAUGCGGAAUUCCAGGUGUAGCGGUGAAAUGCGUAGAUAUCUGGAGGAACACCGGUGGCGAAGGCGGCAUCCUGGACCGAUACUGACGCUGAUGAGCGAAAGCCAGGGGAGCAAACGGG